rnacentral:rRNA from 1 species
UAGGGAAUCUUCCACAAUGGACGCAAGUCUGAUGGAGCAACGCCGCGUGAGUGAAGAAGGUUUUCGGAUCGUAAAGCUCUGCUGUUGGUGAAGAAGGAUAGAGGCAGUAACUGGUCUUUAUUUGACGGUAAUCAACCAGAAAGUCACGGCUAACUACGUGCCAGCAGCCGCGGUAAUACGUAGGUGGCAAGCGGUGUCCGGAUUUAUUGGGCGUAAAGCGAGCGCAGGCGGAAUGAUAAGUCUGAUGUGAAAGCCCACGGCUCAACCGUGGAACUGCAUAGGAAACUGUCAUUCUUGAGUGCAGAAGAGGAGAGUGGAAUUCCAUGUGUAGCGGUGGAAUGCGUAGAUAUCUGGAAGCACACCAGUUGCGAAGGCGGCUAUCUGGUCUGCAACUGACGCUGAGGCUCGAAAGCAUGGGUAGCGAACAGG